AAAUACUUCAAGCGGGGAGGUAGUCGUUUCCUGUUAAUAACCUCAGAUGAUUGAUGUCACCCCAGGGAAGAGGCCCCGGUUUUUUUUUGUGCCCGCAGGCGGGGUUAUUCGGGGGGGCCAAGCUUUUCUCGGAAUUUGUGGGGGAAAGGGCCGGCAGGCGGUCUGACAAGUCGGAUGAAAAACCCCCGGGCUCAACCGGGGAACUGCAUUUGAAACUGGCAGUCUUGAGUUUUGUAGAGGGAGGUAGAAUUCCUGGUGUAGCGGUGAAAUGCGUAGAUAUUGGGGGGAACACCGGUGGGGAAGGCGCCCCCCUGGACAAAAACUGACGCUCAGGGGCGAAAGCGUGGGGAGCAAACAGG
rnacentral:rRNA from 1 species